UGCCACAGCCUUUAAUUUGUAAAUGUGAGUCUAUAAAUAAGAGAGCAGCCAUAACAAUUUGACUCACAACAAGCAAGAAAAAUACAACGAUUUUAGCACUUGCUCAUGGCUGGCCUUCAAUACAACUUUUUUCCAACAGAUUUCUUCUUUCCUCCUCAGAAUACAAUCCACAGAGACAGCACAUCACAGCAAAUAAAUCUCUCGGCCAACACAAGAAUGACUGAUGAAAAUUUAGAUGAUUCAAAACCACUGGCCAAACCUAUCACCAACACCAAAAGUACUACUCUCAAAGCGGCCAUUUCUUCUUCCUCUAUUAUCUUAGCUCCUAUAUCAAAGCAGAGGCAAAAUCAAGGUCAAGAUCAAGCAAUCUGAUUAAUGAUAACAGAAGACUUUGUUUAUAAGGCUAAUUAUUAAAGAUCUCCUUGAUCAUACAUGGUAUUAAGUCAAUUAUAAGACAAGUAUUUCAGUUUGCUUUCUGUUUCUUCCUUUUGUUGUCUACUUUUCUUUCCUAAUGGAUUUGUAAAGGCUUCUCCAAUAUCAUCAGAGUCUAAAGUAAUAUUUUAUUAAGUUGUUAUGAUAACCAGUGAACUAUAAAGUUGGAUGGAUGCAUAUAUCAAAGUAAAUAAAUUACAC
rnacentral:lncRNA from 1 species